CAAUAGCGUAUAUUAAAGUUGUUGCAGUUAAAAAGCUCGUAGUUGGAUUUCUGGCGGGAGCGAUCGGUCUGGCGCUUAGCGCGAGUACUUGCAUCGUCUCCGGCCAUCCUUGGGGAGAGUCUGUCUGGCAUUAAGUUGUCGGGCAGAGGAUCCUCAUCGUUUACUGUGAAAAAAUUAGAGUGUUCAAAGCAGGCUUAUGCCGUUGAAUAUAUUAGCAUGGAAUAAUAAGAUAGGACUUUGGUACUAUUUUGUUGGUUUGCGCACCAAAGUAAUGAUUAAUAGGGACAGUUGGGGGUAUUCGUAUUCCGUUGUCAGAGGUGAAAUUCUUGGAUUUACGGAAGACGAACUACUGCGAAAGCAUUUACCAAGGAUGUUUUCAUUAA
rnacentral:rRNA from 1 species